ACUAGUAUUUUGCUUAGAUCACAUGAAUCUUAUUAUUCUGGACCAGGUAUUUAACAAAGUAGAAAGAUACCUAUUGAUUUUUGCAAAGAGCCCAGGACCCACAGGACUACCUCUGGUAUCCUCAAGGCUCAGAUACAUCAUGUUCUGUGCUUGUAUGUCACAAGUUAGGCAGCUAAUUAGAGACCUAAAAUACAAAGCACAUUAACAAAAAGCUCAUCAUUUCUGCCUCCUACACAAAAUUUGUUUCACUAUGAGGGUGCCAGAUAACUUUAAAACUUUUGUUAUUUCCUUCCUUCCUUCAUAAGUCAAAUGUCAUCAGGUGAAACCUGACACCAGUGACAGUACAAUGUUGACAAAGAUAGUAAAAUAUUGAUGCUAGUAUCAUAUAUUUCCCUUUUUUUGAUGAACAUAAAUUGUAUACAAUUGGGAGCAAUAUCUUGAUAAAUUGUAUGUUAAAAAAUUUUAAACCGUUAUCAGAUUUGAUAAGCUAGACCAACAAAAAAUGUUUUAAGCUGCCAUGUAUUUUUUUCCAGGCACUGAACAAACAGUUCAUUGUUCCAAGGCUGUCUGGGAGCCAUUGCUUUGGGGUAUUCUAUACAAUUUCAAAGCACCUUCAGAAGCUCACACAUGCCUUUGAGCAUGCAGAACCAGGAGGCAGCACAUCUAAACCACAAAUGGAGACUAUACUCCAUUUACAUGUGUAAAUUAAACCCUAUAAAAUAACAUAAGUAUUAUAAAAUUGUGUUAAAACUGAUUAACAGCUUUACUGAUUUACUGACAAUGAAAAUAUAUAGCAUUUUUUUCUGUCAGAGCAUUUAUCAACACUUGGCAACCCUGCACUAACUUGACACGUAAGAUGAUCAAAAUGGAUUAUGUAAUCUUUCCCAUUCAUUUCUAUUGAUUUUAGUUAUGAUAAAAUUCAUCAGUGUGCCGGGAACGCUUAGGCUGAAAGGCUCUGGUUGAUAAAAGAAAAAAAAAAAGGAAAAAAGAAUUCAACUGAGUUGUAAUAGGAUGAAUGUAAUUUUAGAAUAGGAUUGUACAAAUAUAGAAGUCAUGCCCUAAAGGCUACAGCAACAAAUUAAUACAGAUAAUUCUGGCAGUCUUAUAAAAUUACAUCUGUCUGUGUAGAUAUUUCACUUUUGUGUCAUCAAAAAUACAGUUUGUAAAAAUAUUUUCAAACUUUGUUAAACUUCAACAGUAAUCAAAGUUAUUUGUCUGACUGCAAGUAACAUCAAAAUGCUAGCAAAUGGACCAUUUUAAUCAGUUUUAUUGAUUCAUGCUUCCAGUUCUUAUUCAGUUAAAAACAAGGCACAUUAAAUACAUCCUCUUAUUGCUCUAUAAAUGCAUGCAGCUCAUUCUGUAUAUCAAAAGUAAUAAAUAAUGGCCAUAAAACACCAAGACAGUUAUAAAAAUGACAACCCAGCCUCAAACAUAGUAUUUAACAGUCCAAUCUAGAACAAUAACCCAACACGAUACAUAAAAGUGCCACAUAUAAAAACAUGCAGUGUGUAUAUCCACUCGAGUAUUGAGCUUACACUUGCUAUUCUUUAAAAACAUAGUAGGGCUUUUUCACUUCUUAAAAAAGUUUGACAUGAUGCAAAUAUUGCAAGUUACAGCAUUAUUAGCUUUAAUAUUACAUUCAUAUGCCAAAAAUCUUUAGAUACAUAAGAGAAAAAUAAAAUCAAUGAUGACUUUUACAGCAUAUUUGCUGAAAGUGAGAAUGAGUUUUCUGUUGUACAAAAGAGGAAGCUACAAAUUUUGAAACAAACAAAGCACAGCCAGAAACUGAAGCAGAACAGGGAGCAUGCAUUUAAUAGCAGAAAUCCUAAAGUUACAUUCAGUAUAAAUUGAUUGAAAGCAAGAAUAUUGCAAACAGCAUGAUGGAUAUGAGGCAGACAACCUUGGCUUAACAAAUAAUCCAGCAUCAUCAUGAUUGUUAUGGCUGUGGUGGGGGCUAUUUAAAGGAGUAUCCAACUCUCCAGCACAGAUGGGGGUUCCUUCACCUGAAUCCCCUUAAAGGCUCUUGAAAUAAAUCACUUGAUAAUAAAAGGCAAUCCCUGCAUACUCACCCCAACCCCAACAGAAUCAACUGAUGUCAAGUUUACAUACAAAGGGGGAAAAUUUCUUUUGUGCUUGGAAUGAAUUUUGAAGAAGCUUAUUCCCACAUAUUUCUUGUCUCUCCUUCUCAAAUCAGGUAAAGAAGCGGUACAGGUUUAAUUAAGAACUUAUACAAAAUGCUGGGGUGCUUUAUUCACAGUAACGGCUUGAAAUCAGUUCAUUUCCAAAUGAGUCUCUGGGAUUGGUGAAGGACGGUAUGUUUUAGAAAUUAGCAGAUUUUAAGUCAAAGCAUAUGCUCAAAAGAAGAAAAGUGUGCUUUUCUUUGUCCUUAAAGGAACUUCAUUCAUAGCAAAGCAUGCACAAACGAAGCCUGUUUAACAAACAGAUCUGCCCGGGCCAGUCAGGUUCUAAGCCCGGUCCCUACUGUAACGGAAUCAGGGAGGAUACAACUCAUCGUUAUCUUGAUCUAACUAGAAAGAGAGAGAGAAAAAGAAAGAGAGCACAUAUGUACCAUACUGUGUAUAUCAUCUGGGAUAUUUUAAAGGACAAUUCAUCUACCUAUUAAGUGUCACUGGGUUCUAAACAAUGAUAUUUAUUGUCUAGAUAGAAAAAAAAAAAAAGGCUAAAUUGUAAAGCCACAAGCUUUCAUUUACUUAAAAAAAAUGAAAAAGCCAGUGUAAAAAUUCACACUUUGAAAGAAAAAAGUUCACAGUGAUCCCUGGGAGCAUUACUUGCUCUGUUUUAGGUUUUCCUUUAGGAAGUGGCAAGUGUCUAAAACUUCAUUUAAAAACAAAACGAGCUAAGAUGUUUUUUUUCUCGGCAGUUUGUUUGUUUCAGUGGUGGUGGGUGGGUGCGUAGGUGAGUGAACCUCCAGUGUUUACAUUGUGACAUAUAGGCUCAGAAUCCACUUGAAUACUCUGCAGUGUUGACAUAAAUAGAAAUAACAGCACAAAAGUGUUUUAUGUACCAGUUUAAAAAACUAAGACUUCAAGUCUGUGCAAUAAAAGCCUGCCAUGAACUAAAGUGUUACAUCUCCUUUUAGAUACAGAACCUGAUGUUAAAAAAAAACAACAACAAAAAUGUAAGUAGUUAAUUUCACAAGAGGAAGUGUGAUUAAUAAAUAUUCAGAUAACUAGUUAAAAUGCCACCACCAAAAUAUAGCAAAAGGAUCCCAAAUUGCAUUACUUGAUAAAUCCAAUACACAGUGACUUUUGCUUUGGACUCGUGUGUGUGUGUGGGGUAGGAGGGAGUGGUUAUUCUUCCAUUUUUAUUUUUGUUUUAUUGAGAAUAUCCCCAUGGAGUACAGAAGGGGAAAGACUUUAAGCAACCAUGAUGACAUCGGAAACUGGUUUGGGCCUUAUUUUACAUAUAAUUAAAGUUAACUAAAGUCUAUUCUAUCCUCCUUUACUAUGGUUGCAAGUGCCCCCCCAAAAAAGACGAUAAGCUAGAUUUGACAAUACCACAUGCUUCAAAAUUUAGGCUUGGGAAUUGAAUCUUUUGUAAUCACAUGUGGAUAUAUAAAAAUACCUUUUUAACUCUUAAAUGUAUUACUACUGUAAUAAUCAGAUAAAUUUGGUCUCAUCCCAUUAAAUCCAAGUUGCCACUUAAAGCUGGUUUUAAAGUAAGAAAAGCAAGGAUCUUGCUGGCAACUAUGAUAGUCAAAGAAAACCAGCAGUGACUGAAGAAAAAAACUGCUGAGAUGAAACUAUCACUGUAACUCCCAGCAAAUGUCAAUGCUAUCCUUAUCUUAUACCUGUGAUUCUGGAAGCUUUCAGAGUUCCUCUUUAAGACUUGCUCCUGUAACCAGAUCUAAACUUUUCCUUCCCUCUCCAGUUAGCCAGUCAUGUUCUAGAUAUACAAAUGUGCAAUAUUGUUUGCAUGAGGAAGGUAGACAAGCUGGAGGGAGAUGGGGCUGAGAAACCUCCACAAACACUAUCAUUUCAAUAGGUGACUCUUUUUAAUAACACACGCUGUCUAAUGCAUGUCACAAAAUUUCUCCAGCUUCUUUUCUCAAUUUUCACCAAAAUAUUCUGUCUUUAGAAUUGAUUUAGAAUAAAGGAAUAAA